UCGGGAAUUUUGGGCAAUGGGCGAAAGCCUGACCCAGCAACGCCGCGUGAAGGAUGAAGUAUUUCGGUAUGUAAACUUCGAAAGAAUAGGAAGAAUAAAUGACGGUACUAUUUAUAAGCUCCGGCUAACUACGUGCCAGCAGCCGCGGUAAUACGUAGGGACCAAGCGUUGUUCGGAUUUACUGGGCGUAAAGGGCGCGUAGGCGGCGUGGUAAGUCACUUGUGAAAUCUCCGAGCUUAACUCGGAACGGUCAAGUGAUACUGCUGUGCUAGAGUGCAGAAGGGGCAAUCGGAAUUCUUGGUGUAGCGGUGAAAUGCGUAGAUAUCAAGAGGAACACCUGAGGUGAAGACGGGUUGCUGGGCUGACACUGACGCUGAGGCGCGAAAGCCAGGGGAGCAAACGGGAUUAGAUACCCCCGUAGUCCCUGAGCGGGCUGGCAAGGCGCAU
rnacentral:rRNA from 1 species